rnacentral:tRNA from 1 species
GGGUUAAUAGUUUAAUAAGAAUGAGAGUUUUGUAAACUUUAGGUAUUGUAUUGGUUUAAUCCU